rnacentral:lncRNA from 1 species
UGCCUGUCUAAACCAACUUCAUGACAAGAGUAUAAAUCUACAAGAAAGUCUUGUUCUAUCUAAGUCUGAUUUUCUUUUUCCUGCAUAGGGAAGGGAAACACAGCUAAAAAUAUCACACAGUUUGAAUCAUGAGGAUAGAAGAGAAACUGGAUGGGGAAGAGGGGGGCAGCAAACUUCAAACACACAAAAGGCUACAGCAGGAAGCAAAGGAGCAAUCUCUUUUCCAAGCAUAUGGUAGCCACAACAAGAAGUAAUGAACUUAACUUGUAGGAAGAGAGUAAGAAAAAAUUUCUAAACAUAGAUGAAGUGAAGGUCUGGAAUACAUUGCCUGAAGGAUGAUCUUAUUGGAAAUCUGUAAGAAGAAAUCAGGCAGGCACCUGUAAAUAAUGAGAUAGGUGUGGUUAAUUGGACACUGGGGGCUGAGGUCCCUUCCAGCUCAAUUCAUUGGGCUCUGUGGUGUAGAGCUUCCUCCUUGCCAUGAGAUCAUGACUAGGGGGAUGGGCCAAAUGAAGGAAACCUAUUGAUAGGAGUCACCUUUGUGCUAUAGUGGUUUGUUUGGGAACAGACAAUAUAAAUGAGGUUGAUGAAGAUAUGUGAGAUAGCAUGCUGGUGAUGCAGGAGGACUUUGCUGAGUGUGUUCUCCCAGGCUGCAGCUGAUCUUAGUCCCUACAGCACCUUCUCAGCCCAGUGUCCAAGUGCUGGAGGAUGAGGAAUUACUUGUUACUGUGCAGUCACAGUGGUACAAUUCAGUUGUGUGUGUGCUCUCUUACGGAUAUGUAAUUAGAGACUGGAAAAAGUGGAGCAGUUUUGAGCUGAUGGAUGGGAGUCCUCCUAGGCUUGAAUCCUUUCACCCCAGAGAUCAGUCUUUCUGCCUUUACUGAGAGACGAGCCUGUUUGUGGAAAGGUGUAUCCACAAGGACUAAUAAAACAUUCCCGGAUGUACCUGCUCCUUCAGUGAUUAGCGCCAGCACCAGGACAUCCUACAGCACCUCCAGCCGAAGCGUGCUGCCGAAGGUGGCUCAGCUGGUUACCGGCUCCUCCUUCCCUUGGAGUUAUCAGUCUGCUUUGACCUUUCUGUCACCUUUACUAGCAGACACUUGGCUGCUUGCUGCUGACUCAGAAGCUGCUGUCUCAGCUGAGAAUACCCUGCUUUGCCACUUCAUAUAUCUACUAGUACAGAUCUGUGAUUGCAGUUCAUGUAUGUGGCUGAUGAAGAGGUGGGCAAGUCUUCCUUCCUGGCUGACCUUGUGA